CCUGCUUCUGUGCAGUGGCAUGAUUGGUACCUUGAAUGUGAGGACGAUGGGAUUUUCCAAUCAUGUGUGGUUGUUGAAGCAUAUGAUGUUGCUGCAUAGGAAAUGUUGGAGCAGGCAGUGAAGGUGCAGUCUGAUUAGGAAAUGUUGGAGCUGGCAACGAAGGUGCAGUCUGAUUAGGAAAUGUAGGGCUUAUACCAUUAAAAGAGGUGAUUGUUUGACCAUUUCCUUGCAGUGCCUGGAUUUGAAGCUCUUGUAUCAUCUUCCUGUGGUCUUCUGGAUUCUGAC
rnacentral:lncRNA from 1 species